CAGCAGCCGCGGGAAUACGAAGGGUGCAAGCGUUACUCGGAAUUACUGGGCGUAAAGCGUGCGUAGGCGGCUUCUUAAGUCGGAUGUGAAAUCCCUGAGCUUAACUUAGGAAUUGCAUUCGAUACUGGGAAGCUAGAGUAUGGGAGAGGAUGGUAGAAUUCCAGGUGUAGCGGUGAAAUGCGUAGAGAUCUGGAGGAAUACCGAUGGCGAAGGCAGCCAUCUGGCCUAAUACUGACGCUGAGGUACGAAAGCAUGGGGAGCAAACAGGAUUAGAUACCCCUGUAGUCCCUGUCUCUUAUAC
rnacentral:rRNA from 1 species